CAUUUCUUAUACAGAAAUUUAAUAACUUUGUAGCAAAACAACUAAUUAAAUACCUGUAAGAGAGAAAUCUUUUUCUCAGUGAAACCCUAAGAAACUUAAUGGCAGUGAUUUUGACUACUCAAGAAGAAUUUGAAAUGCCCCACUUAAAAAACAACAACUCUGAGCAACUGUGAAAAAGGAAACCAUUUUAUUUGAGUGUAAUUAUUAGAUAAGUGUGAUAGAACCACCUGACAAGAACUCUUUAACAAGUAGAGCUAAUUUUAGGCUCAGCCUGAGCCUCAUUUUUCCAAUGAGAUAAAAAUAUACAUAGAUAAACCUAGGGAUACUUUGAAGCAUUCAGUUAGUCUUAAAAGAGCCACAGCGGAGGGAACUUUAUGGAAGAGCCCCAGUGCCUAGUACUGUACCUGGAACAUAAAAGGUGCUCAACACACAUUUGAUGGGUUAAUAAGUAUUGGACUAUUAGUACAGCCAACAGAUAUUGGAUCACAGGGUUGUUUGAUGGGCGUUUCUACACAGCUGAGGCGUUUCCUUUCCUGAAGCUGUGUGGGACUAACAACCUACAUGCAUCAGUUUGUUAUGGUUUAUGGAGUAAGGCCUUCGUGCAUUGCCCUGGCUCAUCUUCUGCGUUCCUGAUGACUCUGGGGGUCUCUGGCAGAGGUGUGAAGGAAAGGGCACUGGCUUUGUAGACACACAGACUUAAGGUCAAACUCCAGCUCAAUUACAUGCUACUUGUGUGACCUCAGAAAAUUUACCUAACCUCUCUCAACCAUAAGUUCCUCAUCUGUAAAAUGGAGUUAUGUGGUACCCACCUCAUAGCAGUAUUAAGUGAUUAAAUGAAAUUAUGUUUAUAAAGCACUCGACAGAUGCUUAGAAAAUAUCGAUUUCCUCCCCCUCUGAGGCA